rnacentral:rRNA from 1 species
AGUGAACGCUGGCGGUAGGCCUAACACAUGCAAGUCGAACGGCAGCACAGUAAGAGCUUGCUCUUACGGGUGGCGAGUGGCGGACGGGGGAGGAAUACAUCGGAAUCUACUUUUUCGUGGGGGAUAACGUAGGGAAACUUACGCUAAUACCGCAUACGACCUACGGGUGAAAGCAGGGGAUCUUCCGACCUUGCGCGAUUGCAUGAGCCGAUGUCGGAUUAGCUAGUUGGCGGGGUAAAGGCCCACCAAGGCGACGAUCCGUAGCUGGUCUGAGAGGAUGAUCAGCCACACUGGAACUGAGACACGGUCCAGACUCCUACGGGAGGCAGCAGUGGGGAAUAUUGGACAAUGGGCGCAAGCCUGAUCCAGCCAUACCGCGUGGGUGAAGAAGGCCUUCGGGUUGUAAAGCCCUUUUGUUGGGAAAGAAAAGCAGCAGGUUAAUACCCCGCUGUUCUGACGGUACCCAAAGAAUAAGCACCGGCUAACUUCGUG